CUUAGAGUUUGAUCCUGGCUCAGGACGAACGCUGGCGGCGCGCCUAACACAUGCAAGUCGAACGAGCGAGAGAGAGCUUGCUUUCUCGAGCGAGUGGCGAACGGGUGAGUAACGCGUGAGGAACCUGCCUCAAAGAGGGGGACAACAGUUGGAAACGACUGCUAAUACCGCAUAAGCCUACAGCUCGGCAUCGAGCAGAGGGAAAAGGAGCAAUCCGCUUUGAGAUGGCCUCGCGUCCGAUUAGCUAGUUGGUGAGGUAACGGCCCACCAAGGCAACGAUCGGUAGCCGGACUGAGAGGUUGAACGGCCACAUUGGGACUGAGACACGGCCCAGACUCCUACGGGAGGCAGCAGUGGGGAAUAUUGCACAAUGGGGGAAACCCUGAUGCAGCGACGCCGCGUGGAGGAAGAAGGUCUUCGGAUUGUAAACUCCUGUUGUUGAGGAAGAUAAUGACGGUACUCAACAAGGAAGUGACGGCUAACUACGUGCCAGCAGCCGCGGUAAAACGUAGGUCACAAGCGUUGUCCGGAAUUACUGGGUGUAAAGGGAGCGCAGGCGGGAAGACAAGUUGGAAGUGAAAUCUAUGGGCUCAACCCAUAAACUGCUUUCAAAACUGUUUUUCUUGAGUAGUGCAGAGGUAGGCGGAAUUCCCGGUGUAGCGGUGGAAUGCGUAGAUAUCGGGAGGAACACCAGUGGCGAAGGCGGCCUACUGGGCACCAACUGACGCUGAGGCUCGAAAGUGUGGGUAGCAAACAGGAUUAGAUACCCUGGUAGUCCACACUGUAAACGAUGAUUACUAGGUGUUGGAGGAUUGACCCCUUCAGUGCCGCAGUUAACACAAUAAGUAAUCCACCUGGGGAGUACGACCGCAAGGUUGAAA
rnacentral:rRNA from 1 species